GAGCACAUGAUUCGUUUAACACUGCAAAUGAUCUCAAAACUGAAAUAGUAUGAUUUUCAGAAGUGUAGAAAACAAAACAUAUGCUGAAAACUAAUGCUCAUGUAUUUCCAACUUCCAACAAAUACUUGGAUUCUUCAUUUCGUAGGUCAAAAGAGAAUGAACAAUACCUGGAAAUUGGAAAGAAAUCAAAAUGUAAGGAGUUAGUGAUCUACAGCAGCAACAUGAUUCAACACCCAAAUUCAGUAAAACAGCAAAAAUGGCCAACUAAAGCCAAUGGAACAGUAGCUACCCAACAGAAUUCAACCCAAAACUUAAAGAAAUCCAAAUUUAAGCCAUCUCAAACAUGGAAAGAAUCAGAAAAUGUUUCAAUCACUGAAAACUUCAACGCUCAAAGCUGAGAAAUCAAUGGAACAAUUUCAGAGUUUCAGCCGUGAGUAUUUUUCAGAAUUGUUUCUCUUGAAGUUUGCCUUCCAAAGCAAGAAAAGGUGCCAUUAUAGACAAGUAAAUAGGGCAAACUUCAGAUUUUGAUUUUGCAUUCUAGCCGUUUUCAAAUUUUUAUUUUUGCCUAGAUAUCCUAAUUAAAAAUCUAAAAAUAACAUUAGACCCCCCACCCAUCUUCCUAGAAGUUUCUCAAACCGUUAUGUAAGAGAUUCCCUGAGCCAAUUACCUAAAUUAUCCCCCCCCAAACCCUGUUAUUUACUCUUAAGACAAAGCAGGGUCAGAUUGACCCAAAACCAAUUUUAAACUUGGGCUAACGGGCAUGUUUCCUUCAAGCAACGGGCUACUGAACAACAGACCUCAAACCCAGCCCAAACAAACAAAACUCAAGGGAAUUAAAAGUCCAAUUCAGGACAGUGACAACAUACAUAAUUAAUCAAAUUCCUUUUCUUCUUCCUUUUUAAAACGCUUUAGCCUGAAAUUAACACUAAGUUAUUAACUAGCAUAUCUAACUUAAUCCUACAGAAAAUGAGAAGAAACUGAUGACUAAAGAUUGAACUAAAAAGAACAGAACAAGGUAGAAAAUACCUAUGCAAUCCAUUUUAAACUUCAGAAUCCUCAAAGACGAGGCUGACCCGACAUCGAAACUCCAGCGAAUUCAAAAUCUUGACCAAAUGGCGAGAAUUGCAACACGAAUAUUAGUCAAACUUUUGUUCAUAGCUAAUAAUUCGUGCCGCAAUUCUCAUUACAAGCCAGGAAAGGAACGAGGCAGAAUCUUGAAGAAAUUGGGUCGUUUGAGGUUGAGUGUCUGAAAUCGGGUCAGAAACAAGGGAAAGGGCGUUCUUGACAUGAAAUGGCCCCCCUUUUUUAUGAAAACUGAGGAAUUCAUGCUGGUUUUAACAAGAACUGAGGAUGUAAUCCGGAAAUUUUAGGCAAAAAGGAGAAAGCUUGGAUUUUUAAUCUUUGAUCUGAAAUUCGGAAAAAUCUAGUGGUCUUUUGGAAAAAAUGGUGGCAGGACAUGAAAGAGGGGACGAUGGGGGUUGUCUAGUCGAAAUUUGGAUGGAUUUGGAAGUGCUCCGUCGCCGUGAGGCGAUUUCCUGACGACAGAUCUAUGGUGGGAAGGGGAGGUGAUUUCAGAGAGAGGAUUAGGUUUUGGGCUCAGGAGAUGGGGAUUA
rnacentral:lncRNA from 1 species